ACAGAGGAGUAGAUGGUUGAUUAUCUGUGCAGAGGGCAAAGAACAUAUUGGCAGUGGUGUGUGAGCAGGGAGGAGACGAGAGCCAAGCAGGGACGAGCUGCUCUUGUGGCCUUGUGGGUGUGCGUCCUACGCUCAGGAGAGAUGACACCGACGUCAGAUGGAUCGAGAGAUGUUGUGUCCAUCCGUCUGAAGUUGGUGUCAUCUCGCCUGAGCAUAGGACUCAUCAGCCCAGAUUAGUGAACAUAGGACACCUCGACGAGUCGUCCACCUUGUUGUUUUGCAUGCUUUCUUUUUCUUGAGUCGCUCUGGCGUGCGAUUUACAAGGUAACUCACCGGCUUCUUCAGAUUGUCCGUUCGUUUUGUUCUGUGUCUUCCUUGCAGGUGCGCAGAAGGUGGGGGUACUGACAUGGCAUGCGAGUCAGGAUGAUAUUGGAGCAGUAUGUCGUACAAGAACAUGCACAGGAUCUUGUUUCGAUGGAAGGUUUCAGUUGCAGGAAAAGCAGCCAUGCAAUUCUCAGCGAAGCAACAAUGCUAACCUGGCUGGAGCUUUCUCCAGGGAGAAAGGGAGCUUUCUCCAGGGAGAAAGAGAGCUUUCUGCAUCUGACCACUCUUUGCUGAUUGCAAGAAAGUUGUUGGUUUUUUUGGAUGGAACUGUCUGCCUACCCUCUCCAAAACGGGCACCUGACUAGCUGUGGCUUUGGCUUGAACGGACUGAAAACUGUUCGGUUACAGUCUGCUCUGUGGUGAAACAAUUUGUUCUCUGUAUUUUCUUUUCCUUUGAUCCGUGUAGACUGCUGUAAAAAUAAUAUUCUGCAUGAAACAGCAACGCUGAACUCUUUGGAUUAAUUUA